CCGAGUUUACAACUCCCAAACCCCUGUGAACAUACCUAUACUGUUGCCUCGGCGGAUCAGCCCGCGCCCCGUAAAAGGGACGGCCCGCCGAGGAACCCCUAAACUCUGUUUUUAGUGGAACUUCUGAGUAUAAACAAACAAAUAAAUCA
rnacentral:misc_RNA from 1 species